AAAGUACGUAGUAUUUUUUGUAUGAGGCAUAGCGGCAUUGCCUUCUCUCUCACCCUACUCUAAUAAGGUUUUGAUAUCUAGAGCUCAUAGGUGGGAGACAGCUAAUACAUACUUACAAGACAUUUAUUGCAUAGUCAAACCAUGGAUCCAGAAGAACAAGUCAAUAAGUCAAAUCAAGAUGUGCAUGUGUAGCGAAUGAAUGAUGUAUGGUGAUGACGGUGAUAACAAUGAUGAAAGUUUAAUUCUACUUGUGCUCUUUUGAGGGGAUACAUACCUUUCUUGCUCUUUUGAAACUUUUUGAGGAGAAUGAGAUGCUCUAUAUUUUCUUUUUCUUUUCUCUCAGGUGGGUAUCUUGUUCCCCUAAUUCUACUGUCGGACACUUGUCCAUUUUUACCUCUCGUCUCACUUUUUCUUUUCUUCGAGGUUCUGGGCACUUGCCCCUUUUUAUUUCCUCGUAUUCACUUUUUUAAGAGCACUCACCCUCUUAGAAUAAUGUAGCAAGUAGUAG
rnacentral:lncRNA from 1 species